rnacentral:rRNA from 1 species
AUGCUGUCCAACGGCACCGACGGCGACGGCCGCCGCUUCCUCAACCUCUCCACCGGCGCCAGCGCCCGCGUCGACCUCCCGGAGCUCUCCCGACACCACCUCGAGGCCAGCACCGAGGGCCUCCUGCUCCUGCGUGACAAGGCGAGCCACGCCGUGCGCCUCCUCAACCCGCUCACCAGGGCGCUCACCGACCUCCCGCCCGUCACCGCGGACCUCGGCGGCGCGUACGCGGUCUGGACGGGGCCGUUCCAGUCCGCGGCGCGCAUCAUCUACGCCGGCGUCUCUGACGAGACCUUCCCAUCGUCAGUCGUGCUCCUGAUGGCGGACCGUCACCUUGGGCGUGCCAUAGCCUACGCCAAGCCCGGUGACCAGCGGUGGGCGGUGAUGGACGAUGAGAUGUGGAGGGCCGACAACCCCAUGUGGUGCCGGUUCUCGUCGGCGUCGACCCUGCAGGGGCGCUUCUACUUCGCGACUCUCGAGGGGCACGUAAUGCAUGCGCGGCUCUGUCCCGAGCCUCGUGUGGUGCCCGUGGUCGUGGAGCAGCCCAACACCGACCACAACAUGUUCUGUUACCUCGUACCUCCCGACAACGACGACCACCGCUGCGGCGGCGGCAUGCUCAUGGUGCGCUACUACCUCAGCCUCGACCACCUCAGCGCCGACGAGCGGAGAAUAAUGAAGCGUAGGAGGAAGGUCAUGGACGUGAUCAGGGUGGAGAGGGAGAACCGGUGGAACCUGAUCCAGGUGUUUGAGGUGGAUGUGGCCGGAAAGAGGCUUGUUCCGGUGGAGGACAUUGGCCGGCACCGCGCCGUGUUUGUCGGGGACGUGGCCUGCUUCUCCUUCUCGGCCAGGAGGUUUCCAUGCGUGGCAGGGAACGCGAUACACAUGGGGGCGCUUGGGGCUCGCUGCCCUCCUGUCGGCGUGCGGUAUCUGGCGGACAAGACUGCUGAUCCAUCGUUUGUGUUCACCACCGACGUGCCAGGAUUUUUAGACUGUAUAUCAGUGAAACAGUAG